rnacentral:rRNA from 1 species
UACGUAGGGGGCAAGCGUUGUCCGGAAUCAUUGGGCGUAAAGAGCGUGUAGGCGGCUUCGUCAGUCCGUUGUGAAAGUCCAGGGCUCAACCCCUGGAAUGCCGAUGGAUACUGCGGAGCUAGAGUCCGGAAGAGGCGAGUGGAAUUCCUGGUGUAGCGGUGAAAAUGCGCAGAUAUCAGGAGGAACACCGAUGGCGAAGGCAGGUCUCUGGGCAUUAACUGACUGAGGAGCGAAAAGCGUGGGGGAGCAAAACAGG